UACGGGAGGCAGCAGUGGGGAAUAUUGCACAAUGGGCGCAAGCCUGAUGCAGCAACGCCGCGUGAGGGAAGACGGUCUUCGGAUUGUAAACCUUUGUCUUUGGUGAAGAAGAAAGUGACGGUAGCCAAGGAGGAAGCCACGGCUAACUACGUGCCAGCAGCCGCGGUAAUACGUAGGUGGCAAGCGUUGUCCGGAAUUACUGGGUGUAAAGGGAGCGCAGGCGGGACAGCAAGUUGGACGUGAAAUACCGAGGCUUAACCACGGAGCUGCAUCCAAAACUGUUGUUCUUGAGUGAAGUAGAGGUAGGCGGAAUUCCGAGUGUAGCGGUGAAAUGCGUAGAUAUUCGGAGGAACACCAGUGGCGAAGGCGGCCUACUGGGCUUUAACUGACGCUGAGGCUCGAAAGUGUGGGGAGCAAACAGGAUUAGAUACCCUGGUAGUCCACACUGUAAACGAUGAUUGCUAGGUGUGGGGGGUCUGACCCCCUCCGUGCCGGAGUUAAAGCAAUAAGCAAUCCACCUGGGGAGUACGGCCACAA
rnacentral:rRNA from 1 species